rnacentral:rRNA from 1 species
UACGUAGGGUGCAGGCGUUAAUCGGAAUUACUGGGCGUAAAGCGUGCGCAGGCGGUUUCUUAAGUCAGAUGUGAAAGCCCCGGGCUUAACCUGGGAACUGCGUUUGAAACUGGGAGACUUGAGUGUGGCAGAGGGGGGUGGAAUUCCACGUGUAGCAGUGAAAUGCGUAGAUAUGUGGAGGAACACCGAUGGCGAAGGCGGCCACCUGGACGGUCACUGACGCUGAGGAGCGAAAGCGUGGGGAGCGAACAGG